CCCAGUCCAACAGCUUUUCCCACAUUCCUCCCCGCCACCCACCUCCAGAAGGAGUCUUGCUUGGUCACCCAGGCUCACUGCAACCUCCGCCUCCCGGGUUCAAUCAAUUCUUCUGCCUCAGCCUCCGGAGUAGCUGGGAUUACAGGUGCACCCCACCAUGCCCAGCUAAUUUUUGUAUUUUCAGUAGAAAUGGGGUUUCACCAUGUUGGUCAGGCUGGUCUUGAACUCCUGACCUCGUGAUCCACCCACUUUGGCCUUCCAAAGUGCUAGGAUUACAGGUGUAAGCCACUGAGCCUGGCAGUCACACAUUCUUUCAACUGUUUGUUUCCACCUUUAUUAUAAAGUAUUUAUAAAGAGGGAUCCAGAGUCCCUCACCUGGUUCAGAAUCUUGGGUGACCCUUGGCAGGUCACUAACCCUGUGAGCCACAGCCACAUUUGUAAAAGUGGGAUAAUAGUCACACAUUGUGAGGUUGUUCACAGUGUUGGCACAUGGUAAGGGCUAAGACACUUGAUUAGCAUAAUAUUCAAAAUUAGAAAUUGUACACUAUUGUACUCUCUUUCAAAAGGCAAACAGCCUAAAACUGUUUGGAAAAAACAGCUUGUACAGUAUAUUGUACACUUCCUGUGAUAGACUAGUGGACUGAUACACCCACUAAUGCACAGCAGUAAUAGUCCACCUCUUUACACAUUAUGCAUGUUAAGUGACAAAAAAACUCACUUUAAAAGGCCAAAUGAUAAAAACAUCAGCCUUGAGGCUCUUCGAUAUAGAGUAAAUCAUAUCUUCCUGCAAACCAAGGAUUAGUAUCAUAAUACCUGAAAGAGGAAAACUUAAUUCUAACAUUCAAGAAAAUUGGCGGCAGGAAUACACCUCGGCUUCUAGUAGUCGGUAGUUUAAAAUACAGGAGGAAAAAAAAAAAGUUUGACCCCGACGUGAUUCGAACACGCAGCCUUCUGAUCUGGAGUCAGACGCGCUACCGUUGCGCCACGAGGUCCUGCUGGGCUGUGGCUCGCGCAGUUUCUUAGGACACCAGUAAAUGGCGUUUCUUCCAGGGGUACCAGUCUUUCUCUUCCAUUUACUCUCUGCCCCUCCACCCAGUAUCUGUCGGACCAGGAGACCGAUUCCUUCAGCGUCCAAACUUUCCUGACUGCUAGUCCUCUAACCAAGGCUGGGACGUAACCAGCGGAAGCGGGAGAACGGGGCUUCCCGUUUAGUCGGGUCUCCAGGAUCAAAGGAAAUUGGCCCUUCCUUUUCUUUACCAAAUGAUUUCCGUUCUUACCCGCCCUGCCCCCGCCCCGUUAGUCGCGAGACUCCGCCCUCUCUCCCCUCCCCCAACAGGUUCCGCGCGCUGAGUUCGCGACCUCGAGUUGUAAUCUGGCGGGGCGCCACUAAGCCGGCGCAGGCCUUCGCAAGAUGGCGGCUGGAGGCAAGGGCAGAGGCCUUCAGAGCGUUUUCUUUUUCCCUUUCCUCCCUUCCUGCAAACAAUUGAGGAAACUGAGGCACUGGAAGAUGAAGGCUACAGAGGUAGAAAGUGAUGGAGGAGAUACAUCCAGAAGACUGCAUUACAAUUUCAAAUCAAAGCUGGACAAGUUUUUUUUUUUUUUUACACAGAUAUCACCAUGUUAGAAAAGUUGGACAAGUUUUGAAACCAUUCUGAACCUAUCAUUCCUGUCUUUCAAAUCCUUCCAAGGCAUCUUAUUAUUGAUUUGUUUCUAUAUUUUCCUCAUUAUUAAAGAGGUUGAGUAUCUUUUCUCUAGAGCUAGUUUGGGUUCUGAUUUUCUUCACUUUCGUGAUGGAGUCAUUUUAGAAUUGAAGGGCAUCAUAGCAACUGAGGCAGUGUUGACAUCAUCAAUGUUUUAGGAUUACAGACAAAGUCUCGCUCUGUCACCCAGGCUGGAGUGCAAUGGCAUGAUCUCGGCUCACUGCAACCUCUGCCUCCUGGUUCAAGCAAUUCUCCUGCAUCAGCCUCCUGAGUAGCUGGGAUUACAGGUGCGCACCACCACGCUUGGCUAAUUUUUGUAUUUUUAGUAGAGACAGGGUUUCAUCGUGUUGGCCAGAUUGGUGUCGAACUCUUGACUUCAAGUGAUCCACCCGCCUUGGCCUCCCAAAGUGCUGGGAUUACAGGUGUGAGCCACUGCACCCGGCCUCAAUUUGUGAUUUCUUUCCCCAUAUUUCUACGUCCAGAGUCCAUCUCCUGCCCAUUCAUUCUGAUACAGAAAAUGACACUUAGUUGCUUCCAG
rnacentral:tRNA from 1 species